UACGAAGGGGCUAGCGUUGUUCGGAAUUACUGGGCGUAAAGCGCACGUAGGCGGAUUGUUUAGUGAGGGGUGAAAUCCCAGGGCUCAACCCUGGAACUGCCUCUCAUACUGGCAAUCUCGAGUUCGAGAGAGGUGAGUGGAAUUCCGAGUGUAGAGGUGAAAUUCGUAGAUAUUCGGAGGAACACCAGUGGCGAAGGCGGCUCACUGGCUCGAUACUGACGCUGAGGUGCGAAAGCGUGGGGAGCAAACAGGAUUAGAUACCCGGGUAGU
rnacentral:rRNA from 1 species